rnacentral:rRNA from 1 species
GGAGGGUGCAAGCGUUAUCCGGAUUUAUUGGGUUUAAAGGGUCCGUAGGCGGAUCUGUAAGUCAGUGGUGAAAUCUCAUAGCUUAACUAUGAAACUGCCAUUGAUACUGCAGGUCUUGAGUAAAGUAGAAGUGGCUGGAAUAAGUAGUGUAGCGGUGAAAUGCAUAGAUAUUACUUAGAACACCAAUUGCGAAGGCAGGUCACUAUGUUUUAACUGACGCUGAUGGACGAAAGCGUGGGGAGCGAACAGGAUUAGAUACCCUGGUAGUCCACGCCGUAAACGAUGCUAACUCGUUUUUGGGGCCUUGGCUUCAGAGACUAAGCGAAAGUGAUAAGUUAGCCACCUGGGGAGUACGUUCGCAAGAAUG